rnacentral:misc_RNA from 1 species
AAGUCGUAACAAGGUUUCCGUAGGUGAACCUGCGGAAGGAUCAUUAUCACGUAUCCACGUAUAAACCAUUGUGAACUGUAACUCUUUUUUUAAAAAGAAAGUAGGAUUUUGCGUUAAUUCGCAUCAUUCUCUUUUUUUUUAAUAAUUAACUAUUUAAACCUUUAAUUAACAAUUGAACUGAUUUUAUUUCUUACUCUUCGGAGAAGAAAUUUUAUUACGAAACAAAGAACAACUCUUAGCAACGGAUAUCUUGGUUCUC